GGUUCAUUACAACGCUAGGCAGUUCUGCAAGGUUCAUUACAACGCUAGGCAGUUCUGCAAGGUUCAUUACAACGCUAGGCAGUUCUGCAAGGUUCAUUACAACGCCAGGCAGUUCUGCAAGGUUCAUUACAACGCUAGGCAGUUCUGCAAGGUUCAUUACAACGCUAGGCAGUUCUGCAAGGUUCAUUACAACGCUAGGCAGUUCUGCAAGGUUCAUUACAACGCCAGGCAGUUCUGCAAGGUUCAUUACAACGCCAGGCAGUUCUG